rnacentral:rRNA from 1 species
CAAUAGCGUAUAUUUAAGUUGCUGCAGUUAAAAAGCUCGUAGUUGGAUUUCGGGUGGGAAUGGCCGGUCCGCCGUUUCGGUGUGCACUUGCUACGCCCACCUUGCUGCCGGGGACGUGCUCUUGAGUUCACGCUCGGGACACGGAGUCGGCGAGGUUACUUUGAGUAAAUUAGAGUGUUCAAAGCAGGCCUACGCUCUGAAUACAUUAGCAUGGAAUAACACGAUAGGACUCUGGCCUAUCUUGUUGGUCUGUAGGACCGGAGUAAUGAUUAAGAGGGACAGUCGGGGGCAUUCGUAUUUCAUUGUCAGAGGUGAAAUUCUUGGAUUUAUGAAAGACGAACUACGGCGAAAGCAUUUGCCAAGGAUGUUUUCAUUAA